GCCCGGAUAGCUCAGUUGGUCAGAGCAGCUGUCUUGUAAACAGCAGGUCGUCGGUUCGAAUCCGACUUCGGGCUCCA
rnacentral:tRNA from 5 species